rnacentral:misc_RNA from 1 species
AAGUCGUAACAAGGUAACCGUAGGUGAACCUGCGGUUGGAUCAUUACAAAUGAACCUCUUGUCGGUAACGAGUACCUUUUCCAAGGUCCGCUAGACAAGACAAACCCAAUGUGCACUGUAAUAGUAUUUGGGCUUAACUGCAGUAGUAGUAGCAUAGUAAUUAUUAAUUACUUUACUGCUAUUUUGUUAGUUUAGCCCAGCAUGAACAACCCAAUUCUAAAUUUUGACUGACUUGUUGAUUAUAUUUAAUCUUAUAAACAACUUUUGACAACGGAUCUCUUGGCUCUC